rnacentral:rRNA from 1 species
CCUACGGGGGGCAGCAGUGAGGAAUAUUGGUCAAUGGACGAGAGUCUGAACCAGCCAAGUAGCGUGAAGGAUGACUGCCCUAUGGGUUGUAAACUUCUUUUAUAUGGGAAUAAAAUGUUCCACGUGUGGGUUUUUGUAUGUACCAUAUGAAUAAGGAUCGGCUAACUCCGUGCCAGCAGCCGCGGUAAUACGGAGGAUCCGAGCGUUAUCCGGAUUUAUUGGGUUUAAAGGGAGCGUAGGUGGUUUGUUAAGUCAGUUGUGAAAGUUUGCGGCUCAACCGUAAAAUUGCAGUUGAAACUGGCAGUCUUGAGUACAGUAGAGGUGGGCGGAAUUCGUGGUGUAGCGGUGAAAUGCUUAGAUAUCACGAAGAACUCCGAUUGCGAAGGCAGCUCACUGGACUGCAACUGACACUGAGGCUCGAAAGUGUGGGUAUCAAACAGGAGUAGAUACCCCUGUAGUC